UCAUUUUAUUUGGUCUGAAAUUUUAGGACAGUUUGUCACGCACGUAACAACAUUUCUUUGAUCCUUUCACUGUCUUUUAUUCUUUUUGCCAGUUUUCUCGAUGACGUUUGCCGAACGUUCAAGCGCUUAAAGGAAAUUGUUUGCGACCCUUUUCCAUGCCCGUAAAAAAAGGACAGUUGGAAGUUACAGAUUGAUUCGUUACACCUUACUAGGAAGUGAACACUUUGCACGGGAAGGGGAGGGACUCGUGGAACAAGUUGAGUAUGACCGUAACAAGCCUCUCUACAGCGCUUACACAUUACUUAUUCAUCAAUUGCUAAACAUCCACAAAUUAAAUAACGAGGCCACGGUGUUAGACAUUUCGGAUAGGUUAAGAACUGUAAAAAAGUCCGUAGCAUAUCUGCUCUUCCGUACUUUGUUGACACGGUGUACCUGGCACCCCCCAAAAUCACACUUAAAUCUCAACUUUGUUUUUGUCUUUAAACCAGCGUUGACGCAAUGUCCACUCUUUCUGUAAGUUGGCGAGUGGGUGGGUGUGUUUUUAAAUCGCUCGGAAGGGGAACGCGAGAAAUCCGAGUGAUUUUUUUUAGGUGGCCUUAGCUCGCUCCGGUCGCCUGAUGUUUCUAACGGAUUUUGAAUGUUCUUCGACCACCGCGCGGGGAUUCUGCUGCGAUUUUAGCGGAUAAAUCAGCCUGUGGACCAACGCGAGAGGUUCGCCUUGCAUACCGGUGAUGCUGCUGUUCAAAAAGGACGGUCUUGCAGCCCACAGGUCAGAGGUCAGCAACACUCGCAUAUUUAAAUAUGUUCCUGACAAUAUUUUUGUGUGUGUGUAAACCUGUUCACAAUUACACAUGAAGCCAUCCAGCUAUUAAAGGCGAUGAUCGCUUGGGUGUUAACGUCAGUAGUGUUAAAAUUAUAAGUGUGCACUUAAACACGGCAACCCAAAGAGUGGUAAUAAUACUCCGGAACGGCUCAGUGGUGUAACCUUACGUCUGUGAUCAUGAUCAAAGCCAUUUACAUGCCAACGCUGCAAUUAUGUUUAUUAAAACUAAUAUUGCUACAUCGCUACAAUCACUUUUAAGUUGAAAUGUAUACAGUAUUACAAUUACAGUUCUGUGUCACUGUAACAACUGUUGUUGCCACUGAUUUUAAUGCAUUAAGCCAGUACAUAUGUGUGUUUUUCACUGUGUUUGAAAUAAAAUACAAUUUGCUGAUUCA